rnacentral:rRNA from 1 species
UACGAAGGGGGCUAGCGUUGUUCGGAAUUACUGGGCGUAAAGCGCGCGUAGGCUGAUAUUUAAGUCAGGGGUGAAAUCCCGGGGCUCAACCCCGGAACUGCCUUUGAUACUGGAUAUCUUGAGUUCGGAAGAGGUGAGUGGAAUUGCGAGUGUAGAGGUGAAAUUCGUAGAUAUUCGCAGGAACACCAGUGGCGAAGGCGGCUCACUGGUCCGAAACUGACGCUGAGGUGCGAAAGCGUGGGGAGCAAACAGG